rnacentral:tRNA from 1 species
ACUUAAAUAGCUUAAAUUUAAAGCAUAAUAUUGAAGAUAUUAAUAUAAUUAAAAAAUUUUUAAGUA